UGGUAAUUAGUUUAAAACAAAAUAAAUGAUUUCGACUCAUUAGAUUGUGAUUAAAUUCAUAAUUACCAA
rnacentral:tRNA from 1 species